CUAACAAGGCGCCAGGUCCAUGAUGAAAGGUGCUGCUGACCUCAGAGCUGACCCCCUCUGUGGGAAGGGGAGGCCAAGAUACUGACAGAUGGCGACCAGGUAUCUGGCCCUGGGACUGGCCUGGGCAACAGUACUACCAAUGGACAGAGCCGUCCUGCCCUCACGGAGCGGCCUGGUUCCUGGGCCGUACAGCUGCAUUGUAUACGAUUGUAUGGAUACCCCAUGACUUGAUCAACCAAUCCCGAACUGAGGAGCUUCUAAAGAUUGUGCCUCACAAAGACACAAGAACAGGUGGAGCAGUGAAACUUGCACACGAUAGUACAAUGGUGGGUAUAUGUCGCACAUUUGUCAUGGAACCUACAAGACCAGGAGUGAAUCCUAACGUGAACUAUGGAGUCCGGGUGAUAAUGAGGUGUCGGUGUGGAUUUGACAAUUGUAACAAGUGUCCCACUCUGGUGUGGGAGAUGCUGAGAGUGCGUACGUGGGAACAGGGGUAUGUGAGGGCUCUCUGUGUGUUCUACUUAAUUUUUCUGAGACCCUAAAACUGCUC